rnacentral:rRNA from 1 species
CCUACGUGAGGCAGCAGUGGGGAAUAUUGCACAAUGGGGGAAACCCUGAUCCAGCAACGCCGCGUGAAGGAAGAAGUCUUUCGGUAUGUAAACUUCUUUCAUAAGGGAAGAAAAUAACGGUACUUACCUAUGAAGCCCCGGCUACUUACUUGCAAGCAGCCGCGGUAAUACUAAGGGGGCAGGCGUCAUCCGGAUUUACUGGGUGUAAAGGCAGCGUAGGCGGUUUAGCAAGUCAGAAGUGAAAGCCAGGGGCUCAACUCCGGGACUGCUUUUGAAACUGUUGAACUAGAUUGCAGGAGAGGUAAGUGGAAUUCCUGGUGUAGCGGUGAAAUGCGUAGAUAUUAGGAGGAACACCAGUGGCGAAGGCGGCUUACUGGACUGUAAAUGACGCUGAGGCUCGAAAGCGUGGGGAGCAAACAGGAUUAGAUACCCUGGUAGUC